rnacentral:rRNA from 1 species
ACGGCUCAGUAACACGUGGACAACCUGCCCUUAGGUUGGGUAUAAACCCGGGAAACUGGGUAUAAUACCCGAUAGGUCUCGAUUGCUGGAAUGCAUCGAGAUUUAAAGCUCCGGCGCCUAAGGAUGGGUCUGCGGCCUAUCAGGUAGUAGUGGGUGUAGCGUACCUACUAGCCUACGACGGGUACGGGUUGUGAGAGCAAGAGCCCGGAGAUGGAUUCUGAGACACGAAUCCAGGCCCUACGGGGUGCAGCAGGCGCGAAAACUUUACAAUGCUGGCAACAGCGAUAAGGGAACCUCGAGUGCCAGGUUACAAAUCUGGCUGUCGAGAUGCCUAAAAAGCAUUUCAUAGCAAGGGCCGGGCAAGACCGGUGCCAGCCGCCGCGGUAACACCGGCGGCUCGAGUGGUAACCGUUAUUAUUGGGUCUAAAGGGUCUGUAGCCGGCCGGAUAAGUCUCUUGAGAAAUCUGGCAGCUUAACUGUCAGGCUUUCAGGAGAUACUGUCUGGCUCGAGGCCGGGAGAGGUGAGAGGUACUUCAGGGGUAGGGGUGAAAUCUUGUAAUCCUUGAAGGACCACCAGUGGCGAAGGCGUCUCACCAGAACGGACCUGACGGCAAGGGACGAAAGCUAGGGGGCACGAACCGGAUUAGAUACCCGGGUAGUCCUAGCCGUAAAACGAUACUCGCUAGGUGUCGGCCACGGUGCGACCGUUGUCGGUGCCGUAGGGAAGCCGUGAAGCGAGCCACCUGGGAAGUACGGCCGCAAGGCUGAAACUUAAAGGAAUUGGCGGGGGAGCAC